AGUAGCAGCAGUAGCAGCCCUUACAGUAUGACAACAUGCCUUCUAAAGUGAAUUAUGUCAUUACCUUUUUAGAGAGGAUGACUUGAGGAAAUGUGAUUAUGUGAAUACUACAAUGAAUUAUGUCCAUAACUGUUCUCACUCGGUGCGUCCAAAGUGUUCAUGAUUUCUAUUCCUUUUGGUCCUUAUUUUCGGACCACAGCUUUUGUCUACACCG